rnacentral:misc_RNA from 1 species
CCAAGCGAGGUUCGGAUCUACGCGCGAACGGGACGGGCCGGCGCGGUGCGGUUUUCUCCAACCGCAUCGGAUCGCCACCCCUUCGCUCCGCGUCCUUCCGUCUUCGAGAACCCUCCAACCCUUGAACACCUUCUCUGCAGUUGCCUCGGCGGACCCGUCCGCCAGAGGACCUGAACCAAAACCGCUGCUGUAAACCUGCCGUCUGAGCUUUUGCAAGCAAUUAUUUUA